GUNAGUAGGCCUAACACAUGCAAGUCGAACGGCAGCACAGGAGAGCUUGCUCUCUGGGUGGCGAGUGGCGGACGGGUGAGGAAUACAUCGGAAUCUACUCUGUCGUGGGGGAUAACGUAGGGAAACUUACGCUAAUACCGCAUACGACCUACGGGUGAAAGCAGGGGAUCUUCGGACCUUGCGCGAUUGAAUGAGCCGAUGUCGGAUUAGCUAGUUGGCGGGGUAAAGGCCCACCAAGGCGACGAUCCGUAGCUGGUCUGAGAGGAUGAUCAGCCACACUGGAACUGAGACACGGUCCAGACUCCUACGGGAGGCAGCAGUGGGGAAUAUUGGACAAUGGGCGCAAGCCUGAUCCAGCCAUACCGCGUGGGUGAAGAAGGCCUUCGGGUUGUAAAGCCCUUUUGUUGGGAAAGAAAUCCAGCCGGCUAAUACCUGGUUGGGAUGACGGUACCCAAAGAAUAAGCACCGGCUAACUUCGUGCCAGCAGCCGCGGUAAUACGAAGGGUGCAAGCGUUACUCGGAAUUACUGGGCGUAAAGCGUGCGUAGAGUGGNAUUUAACGUCCGUUGUGAAAGCCCUGGGCUCAACCUUGGGGAACUGGCAGUGGAUAACUGGAUGACUAG
rnacentral:rRNA from 1 species